GACGAACGCUGGCGGCGUGCUUCACACAUGCAAGUCGAACGAAGUGGCGAACGGGUGAGUAAUACGUGGGUAACCUGACCUCCUUUUUGGGAUAAGCCUUGGAAACGGGGUCUAAUACCGAAUAAAGGGGGAUGGGCUCGCGGCCUAUUAGCUUGUUGGUGGGGUGAUGGCCUACCAAGGCGGUGACGGGUAGCCGGCCUGAGAGGGUGACCGGCCACAUUAGGACUGAGAUACGGACCCGACUCCGACGGGAGGCAGCAGUCGGGGAUAGUGCACAAUGGGCGAAGGCCUGAUGCAGCUACGCCGCGUGGGGGAUGAAGGCGAUCGAGUCGUAAAGUUCUUCGGUACCAUAAGAAAAAGCCCCGGCUAACUACGUGCCAGCAGACGCGGUAAAAC
rnacentral:rRNA from 1 species